GGGCGCGUGGCGCAGUUGGUAGCGCGCAUGCUUAGCAGUAACUCGACCGUGGGAACGUGAUUACGUAAUGCAUGAGGGCCCCGGAUCGAGCCCGGGCGUGUCCA